rnacentral:rRNA from 1 species
GACGAACGCUGGCGGCGGGCUUAACACAUGCAAGUCGAACGGAAAUGCCCGGCUUUUGUGGGGUGCUCGAGUGGCGAACGGGUGAGUAACACUUGAGUAACCUGCCCUUGACUUUGGGAUAACUUCAUGAAACUUGGGCUAAUACCGGAUAGGAGCUCCUGCUUCAUGGUGGGGGUUGGAAAGUUUCGGCGGUUGGGUGUGGACUGGCGGCUUAUCAGCUUGGUGGUGGGGUGGUGGCUUACCAAGGCUUUGACGCGUAGCGGGGCUGAGAGGGUGACAGGAUCAAUUGGAACUGAGAUGAGACACAGACUCCACUGGGAGGCAGCGGUGCGGAAUAUUGCACAAUGGGAGGAAGGAUGAUGUGACAACGCCGCGUGCGGUGUAACGGCAUUCGGGUUGUAAAGCGCUUUCGCCUCUGCCGAAGCGUGAGUGACGGUACCGGGUAAAGAAGCACCGGCUAACUACGUG